rnacentral:rRNA from 1 species
GUGAACGCUGGCGGCAGGCCUAACACAUGCAAGUCGAACGGCAGCACAGGGGUAGCAAUACCCUGGGUGGCGAGUGGCGGACGGGUGAGGAAUACGUCGGAAUCUGCCUAUUUGUGGGGGAUAACGUAGGGAAACUUACGCUAAUACCGCAUACGCCCUACGGGGGAAAGCGGAGGCCCUUCGGGCUUCGCGCAGAUAGAUGAGCCGACGUCGGAUUAGCUAGUUGGCGGGGUAAAGGCCCACCAAGGCGACGAUCCGUAGCUGGUCUGAGAGGAUGAUCAGCCACACUGGAACUGAGACACGGUCCAGACUCCUACGGGAGGCAGCAGUGGGGAAUAUUGGACAAUGGGCGCAAGCCUGAUCCAGCCAUGCCGCGUGUGUGAAGAAGGCCUUCGGGUGUAAAGCACUUUGUCCGGAAGAAAAGCACUGGGUUAAUACCCUAGUGUCAUGACGGUACCGGAAGAAU